rnacentral:lncRNA from 10 species
AUCUGUAAGGUGCGGCCGCCGCCGGAUUGGCAGCCACCAUUUGCAUGUGAUGUUGAUAAACUUCAUUUUACGCCACGUAUCCAGAGACUGAAUGAAUUGGAGUCCCGCUCUGUCACCCAGGGUGGAGUGCAGCAGCAUUAUCCUGGUUCACUGCAACCUCUGCCUCCUGGGUUCAAGUCAUUCUCCUGCCUCAGCCUCCCAAGUAGCUGGGAUUACAGGCCCAAACUCGUGUAAAAUUGAAUUUCUUGGACCAGAUUGCAAAGUACUGGGAGUUACAGGGAAGUACUCUGAAAAUUCCACAUGUGGAGAGGAAGAUCUUGGACUUAUUUCAGCUUAAUAAGUUAGUUGCAGAAGAAGGUGGAUUUGCAGUUGUUUGCAAGGAUAGAAAAUGGACCAAAAUUGCUACCAAGAUGGGGUUUGCUCCUGGCAAAGCAGUGGGCUCACAUAUCAGAGGGCAUUAUGAACGAAUUCUCAACCCCUACAACUUAUUCCUGUCCGGAGACAGCCUAAGGUGUUUGCAGAAGCCAAACCUGACCACAGAC